UGGUUGGGUGUAAUGUCCUAUUACGUACUUAUUACAUUACGCCCCUAUUCCUAAAAUUUGCUGCUUUCUAUUCCCUUCCAAAAGCUCAGUUUUGCUUCCCCAUUACAGCUCCCGAUUUCAUCUACCCUGUUUUACCCUCCCAACUCGAAAGCCACCUCCACCCUCUCCCUCCUAACAUCAAACAGAAGCUGCCAGCAAAUCUUUUGUUCCUGAAGGUAACUGGAAAAAAAAACUGGAGGACCGGCCACACCAUCAACAGACUGCAAAAAGAAAGUGAGUUUUUCUCAGAUCUAAUUCCAUAACUUUUUCCUUCCUUUCAGCCUCCACAACUGCUUCUUCUUCAUCACUCAUCAGCAGACUGCUUCUUCUUCUGCAUCCGCUCGCCGGCCGCCAGUCAUCCGUGUCCAUUUUCAGACAACGGUGUCUUGACGGUUCGUAUUCCGUAGGACACCAGUACGAGAGGGGAAGAUCCAUGUCGGUGCUUCUCCAUUGCCUGACAUCCUUAUACAAGAAAGCUUGACAUAACUGCAAUCAUAGCCGAGAUUUACAUUUGAAGCUUCAAUGGCGAUUUCAUCUCUCCCUUGUAUUCAACCUGUAAGAGUUCCUUUCAAAGCUUGUAGCUUCUUUCCUGCUGGUGUUUGUGGUGGAUUCAACAAUAAGAAAAGGAUAAAUGCGGUUGUUUUUUCUUCGUUGAGGAAAAUUUCCAACGAUAUCAACAUUGAAUCCAAGGUUGAUACAUUGUUGGACAGUAUCAAAUGGGAUGACAAAGUCAAAAUGUUGACACUGGAGCCAUAUUAAUGAAGGCUUUGUCAACAGGGAUGCACUAGCUACAACUAUCACUUCUAGGAAGGCAACGUUCUUCAGUCGAUCACAGGCAACAUUGUGGACAAAAGGAGAAACUUCCAACAAUUUCAUCAACAUUUAUGACAAAAGGAGAAACAAGUUAUGCGUGCAAUUUAGUUGGAGAGGUUUUUUGUUAGGUCAUGUAAGACUUUUGUUGGUUAAACUAUUAGAAAUUCAAGAGCAAAUUGGGUCCUCUAAUAUAAAAAUGAGGAAUUUAGUCCUUAUAUAAUUCGUUUUGAAGCAAACAAGUAACUUUUGAAUAGUUUUAAUAUUUUUUUAUCUAAA